UACGUAGGGUGCAAGCGUUAAUCGGAAUUACUGGGCGUAAAGCGCGCGUAGGCGGCUUUGUAAGUUAGAGGUGAAAGCCCGGAGCUCAACUCCGGAACUGCCUUUAAAACUGCAUCGCUUGAAUCCAGGAGGGGUGAGUGGAAUUCCGAGUGUAGAGGUGAAAUUCGUAGAUAUUCGGAAGAACACCAGUGGCGAAGGCGGCUCACUGGACUGGUAUUGACGCUGAGGUGCGAAAGCGUGGGGAGCAAACAGG
rnacentral:rRNA from 1 species